CUUGGCUCCCUGGAUGUUAGCGGCGGACGGGUGAGUAACACGUGGGUAACCUGCCUGUAAGACUGGGAUAACUCCGGGAAACCGGGGCUAAUACCGGAUGGUUGUUUGGACCGCAUGGUUCAAACAUAAGAGGUGGCUUCGGCUACCACUUACAGAUGGACCCGCGGCGCAUUAGCUAGUUGGUGAGGUAACGGCUCACCAAGGCAACGAUGCGUAGCCGACCUGAGAGGGUGAUCGGCCACACUGGGACUGAGACACGGCCCAGACUCCUACGGGAGGCAGCAGUAGGGAAUCUUCCGCAAUGGACGAAAGUCUGACGGAGCAACGCCGCGUGAGUGAUGAAGGUUUUCGGAUCGUAAAGCUCUGUUGUUAGGGAAGAACAAGUACCGUUCGAAUAGGGCGGUACCUUGACGGUACCUAACCAGAAAGCCACGGCUAACUACGUGCCAGCACCCGCGGUAAUACGUAUGUGGCAAGCGUUGUCCGGAAUUAUUGGGCGUAAAGGGCUCGCAGGCCCUUUCUUAAAUCUGAUG
rnacentral:rRNA from 1 species